rnacentral:rRNA from 1 species
CAGCAGCCGCGGUAAUACGAAGGGGGCUAGCGUUGCUCGGAAUCACUGGGCGUAAAGGGUGCGUAGGCGGGUCUUUAAGUCAGGGGUGAAAUCCUGGAGCUCAACUCCAGAACUGCCUUUGAUACAGAAGAUCUUGAGUUCGGGAGAGGUGAGUGGAACUGCGAGUGUAGAGGUGAAAUUCGUAGAUAUUCGCAAGAACACCAGUGGCGAAGGCGGCUCACUGGCCCGAUACUGACGCUGAGGCACGAAAGCGUGGGGAGCAAACAGGAUUAGAUACCCCCGUAGUCCCUGUCUCUUAUAA